rnacentral:rRNA from 1 species
UGAGGAAUAUUGGUCAAUGGGCGAGAGCCUGAACCAGCCAAGUAGCGUGCAGGAUGACGGCCCUAUGGGUUGUAAACUGCUUUUAUGUGGGGAUAAAGUGCGUGACGUGUCAUGCAUUGCAGGUACCACAUGAAUAAGGACCGGCUAAUUCCGUGCCAGCAGCCGCGGUAAUACGGAAGGUCCGGGCGUUAUCCGGAUUUAUUGGGUUUAAAGGGAGCGUAGGCUGUCUAUUAAGCGUGUUGUGAAAUUUACCGGCUCAACCGGUGGCUUGCAGCGCGAACUGGUCGACUUGAGUAUGCAGAAAGUAGGCGGAAUUCAUGGUGUAGCGGUGAAAUGCUUAGAUAUCAUGACGAACUCCGAUUGCGCAGGCAGCUUACUGUAGCAUAACUGACGCUGAUGCUCGAAAGUGCGGGUAUCAAACAGG